rnacentral:rRNA from 1 species
GACGAACGCUGGCGGCGUGCUUAACACAUGCAAGUCGAGCGAGGCCCUCCUUCGGGGGGUGCCCUAGCGGCGAACGGGUGAGUAACACGUGGGCAACCUGCCCUCAGCUCUGGGAUAACUCCAAGAAAUUGGUGCUAAUACCGGAUGUGACCGCUGACCGCAUGGUCUGGUGGUGGAAAGAUUCAUCGGCUGAGGAUGGGCCCGCGGCCUAUCAGCUUGUUGGUGGGGUGAUGGCCUACCAAGGCGACGACGGGUAGCCGGCCUGAGAGGGUGACCGGCCACACUGGCACUGACAUACGGGCCAGACUCCUACGGGAGGCAGCAGUCGGGAAUUUUGGGCAAUGGGCGAAAGCCUGACCCAGCAACGCCGCGUGAAGGAUGAAGCUUCUCGGAGUGUAAACUUCAUAAGAAUGGGACGAAUAAAUGGGGAUAAUACCCCCAUGAUGACGGUACCAUUUGUAAGCUCCGGCUAACUCCGUGCCAGCCGCCGCGG